CAGACCCACAGACAGCGCUGGAGUCUCAGCUCGGCCGGUCACUGGUGUCCUGGGGAGAGGCAGAGGGCUUCCAGCCAGGCUGUUCCUGAAGGUGAUCCAGUGGGUGCGUCAGGGGCUCCAAGACCCUCUGCCGUCCCUCGCCCGGUGGUCCGCGACGCUCGCCUGCAGCGGAAGCGCGGCGUGGCCCUCGCCGCUCAGUCACUCCCCCGCGAGGGCUAGGGCGCCUACAUCCCGGAGCGGCCCCUGGCCCCCGCCCCACGUCCGGACCCCCGCCCUCCUAGCCGACUGCCCCAGCGCGCGCGGGACCCGGGAGAACCCCUGCGCUUGGUCCGG